rnacentral:rRNA from 1 species
AGAACGAACGCUGGCGGCAGGCUUAACACAUGCAAGUCGAACGCUCGUAGCAAUACGGGAGUGGCAGACGGGUGAGUAACGCGUGGGAACAUACCCUCCGGUUCGGAAUAGCUCAGGGAAACUUGGAUUAAUACCGGAUACGGCUGAGAGGCGAAAGAUUGAUCGCCGGAGGAUUGGCCCGCGUUCGAUUAGCUUGUUGGUGAGGUAACGGCUCACCAAGGCUAUGAUCGAUAGCUGGUCUGAGAGGAUGAUCAGCCACAUUGGGACUGAGACACGGCCCAAACUCCUACGGGAGGCAGCAGUGGGGAAUAUUGGACAAUGGGCGCAAGCCUGAUCCAGCCAUGCCGCGUGAGUGAUGACGGCCUUAGGGUUGUAAAGCUCUUUCGCUCGGGACGAUAAUGACGGUACCGAGAUAAGAAGCCCGGCUAACUACGCGCCAGCAGCCGC